rnacentral:rRNA from 1 species
UUCAAUCUUUGACCUCAAAUCAGGUAGGACUACCCGCUGAACUUAAGCAUAUCAAUAAGCGGAGGAAAAGAAACUAACAAGGAUUCCCCUAGUAACUGCGAGUGAAGCGGGAAGAGCUCAAAUUUAAAAUCUGGCGGUUCUGCCGUCCGAGUUGUAAUCUGGAGAAGCG